GCAGGGAUGGCGGAAUGGUAGACGCGUACGGUUCAGAACCGUAUGCCUUUAAGGCGUGAGGGUUCGACUCCCUCUCCCUGCACCA
rnacentral:tRNA from 1 species